rnacentral:rRNA from 1 species
GAUCCUGGCUCAGGAUGAACGCUAGCUACAGGCUUAACACAUGCAAGUCGAGGGGCAUCAGGAUGUAGCAAUACAUUGCUGGCGACCGGCGCACGGGUGAGUAACACGUAUCCAACCUGCCUUUUACUCGGGGAUAGGCUUUCGAAAGAAAGAUUAAUACCCGAUGGUAUAAUAUUUCCGCAUGGGAUUAUUAUUAAAGAAUUUCGGUAAAAGAUGGGGAUGCGUUCCAUUAGGCAGUUGGCGGGGUAACGG